rnacentral:rRNA from 1 species
UACAGAGGGUGCGAGCGUUAAUCGGAAUUACUGGGCGUAAAGCGCGCGUAGACGGUUUUGUAAGUCAGAUGUGAAAUCCCUGGGCUCAACCUGGGAACUGCAUUUGAUACUGCAUGGCUAGAGUAUGGAAGAGGGAAGUGGAAUUUCCGGUGUAGCGGUGAAAUGCGUAGAUAUUCGCAAGAACACCAGUGGCGAAGGCGGCUCACUGGCCCGGAACUGACGCUGAGACGCGAAAGCGUGGGGAGCAAACAG